rnacentral:rRNA from 1 species
UCCUACGGGGCGCAGCAGUAGGGAAUUUUCGUCAAUGGGCGCAAGCCUGAACGAGCGAUGCCGCGUGAGUGAAGAAGGCCUUCGGGUCGUAAAGCUCUGUUGCGGGGGAAAAAAGGCAGCAUCAGGAAAUGGGUGCUGACUGAUGGUGCCCCGCCCGAAAGUCACGGCUAACUACGUGCCAGCAGCCGCGGUAAUACGUAGGUGGCGAGCGGUAUCCGGAAUGAUUGGGCGUAAAGGGUGCGCAGGC